CCCCUGGUGGUCUAGUGGUUAGGAUGCGGCGCUCUCAACGCCGCGGCCCAGGUUCCAUUCCCGGUCAGGGAA
rfam:Manacus vitellinus contig69048, whole genome shotgun sequence.